rnacentral:rRNA from 1 species
GAUGAACGCUGGCGGCGUGCUUAACACAUGCAAGUCGAACGGUGAAGGUGGGAGCUUGCUCCUGCUGGAUCAGUGGCGAACGGGUGAGUAACACGUGAGUAACCUGCCCCGGACUCUGGGAUAAGCGUUGGAAACGACGUCUAAUACCGGCUACGAGACGCGAAGGCAUCUUCAUCGUCUGGAAAGAUCUUUUGGUCGGGGAUGGACUCGCGGCCUAUCAGGUCGUUGGUGAGGUAAUGGCUCACCAAGCCUACGACGGGUAGCCGGCCUGGGAGGGUGACCGGCCACACGGGGACUGAGACACGGCCCAGACUCCUACGGGAGGCAGCAGUGGGGAAUAUUGGACAAUGGGCGAAAGCCUGAUGCAGCAACGCCGCGUGAGGGACGACGGCCUUCGGGUUGUAAACCUCUUUUAGUAGGGAAGAAGCGAAAGUGACGGUACCUGCAGAAAAAGCACCGGCUAACUACGUGCCAGCCGCCGCCGUAA